UCUACGUGAACUUGACAACGUCAAACAUGAUAUAUCGCGUGAAUUCUCAGUGCGAAAAUAUCUAAAAAUCAAAAACGAAACGUUUGUCGGAUUCAGUAACACAACAUAAACAGAAUUUCUCGAUGCUUACAGGUUUCACACCGUUUCAGUUCGGUGGUGGAGGAGUUACCUGAACACAAGCAUCUUCAGCGGAUAGUAACCAUCGCCGAUGAAUGUAAUAUUUAUCAGUUUUGAUAUUGUUUUAUUCAUUCACGAAUUGACGAAUUUGUAUACCUGAGAUUUAUUACGCAAUAUAUUUCGAUAAUGUCUGAUAACCAUUUCUGAUCUAUUAAAAAUUAUAGAAAUAAAUAAAAAAUAUACGUUGCAUAAAACGUGAUAGCUAUCGGAUACUCAAAUGCUUUUCACUUUAUCAGUAAAUGAAGUCUACGUGAAAUUCACAUGAAAUGCAUGAGAUUCAUAGGAUAAAUCAUCUCACCAGUUCUCAAAUGAACUCAAAUGACAAUCACGUAAAAUCUACGUGAAAAUGACAGUGGAAAAUAUUCACAUAACUUUUCCGGAAAUUAUAACGUGGAAAAUAUUUUGAGCGUUCUGUUUUAUAAUAAUGUUCAUAUGUAUUAUUCGUAGAUAGACUGCUGUUCAUUUUUCAGGCAACAAACUCAAAUUUUUAUUUCUGGCACAGCGUCACUCUAUAAAUGGGGUGAGAUUGGGCCAAUGUCCAUGUAUUUAUAGCAAAAUUAUAGUAUAGUAGCAAUUGUUAACUAAACAUGUAAGCAUGCAUUGAAUUGUUUUGGAUCAAUUUUAUUGCUUAAAUAUGUGCAAAACAACCUAAGGACAAAAACGUACGCUUUUUCGGUACAAUCUCACCCGGCAGGCAGUACCAAGUUUCUUUUUGACGUAAAAACGCGAAUGAAUUGUGAUGAAACAAAAUAAUCGUGAGUAAAGGAAAAAUUGAAUGACUUA